rnacentral:ribozyme from 14 species
AUGAGAAUAAAGAAUGAGCAAAACGAAGAGCACGUCUUGUAUCCAGUAUUGUAUUUUUAUCAAUCUUUUCUUCUUCUUCUUCUUCUUCUUCGUUGUUGUUGUCAUUUU